AACGGAGACUUUAGUUCUCUUUCCCGUCUUGCAAGAUGGCGGGUGAAAAAGUUGAGAAGCCGGUUUCUAAAGAGAAGAAACCAGUUUCUAAGGAGAAGAAACCUUCUUCUAAGGAGAAGAAACUAGUUUCUAAAGAGAAGAAAUCUGUUAAUAAAAAGAAGAAGCCUAAAGCCAAGAAGGGGAUGCCCCACUGCAGCCGAAAUCCUGUUCUGGUCAGAGGAAUAGGCAGAUAUUCCCGAUCUGCCAUGUAUUCCAGAAAGGCAAUGUAUAAGAGGAAAUACACAGCAGCUAAAUCCAAGAUUGAAAAGAAGAAGGCGGCGAAGGUCCUCGCCACUGUUACAAAACCAGUUGGUGGGGACAAGAAUGGUGGUACUCGGGUGGUUAAACUUCGCAAAAUGCCUAGAUACUAUCCCACCGAAGAUGUGCCUCGAAAGCUAUUGAGCCAUGGCAAAAAACCAUGUAGUCAGCAUGUGAGAAAACUGCGAUCCAGCAUCACACCUGGGACUGUUCUAAUUAUCCUCACCGGGCGCCACAGAGGCAAGAGAGUGGUUUUCCUAAAGCAACUGGGCAGUGGCUUGCUACUUGUGACUGGACCUCUGUCCCUCAAUCGAGUUCCUUUACGAAGGGCACACCAGAAAUUUGUCAUCGCCACCACCACAAAAAUUGACAUCAGCAAUGUUAAAAUCCCAAAGCAUCUUACUGAUGCUUAUUUCAAGAAGAAGCAGCUCCGGAAGCCCAGACACCAAGAAGGUGAGAUCUUCACCACAGAAAAAGAGAAAUAUGAGAUAACAGAACAGCGCAAGGUUGAUCAAAAAGCUGUGGACUCGCAAAUUUUACCGAAAAUCAAAGCUAUUCCUCAGCUCCAAGGCUACCUGCGAUCCGUGUUUGCUCUGACAAAUGGAGCUUACCCUCAUAAAAUGGUGUUUUAAAUUUCUUAAAAAGAACCUAAUUAAAUGGCU